GCGCAUGCGCUUAUUUCCGAGAGAUCUUGAUUCUAGAUCUAUUUCUACAUUUUAAAAUGAUUUUAGAAGUUGAAGUUGAACGUAUUUACCCGAAAAUGCGAAAUUACCGUACCUUACCGUAUGAUGAAUGAUGAUGGUCAGAUGGAUUUUGAUGGUAUCAACUAUCAUUAAAUCAUAUUCAUAUCAUCGCAAGACAUGGAGAGCCAAUAUUGAAAAAAAAACUCCAGACUUUCACAACCAGUUUGCCCAAUAUUAGGAAGUAGGUGGCCUGUAAAGAUAUCUACUGUCAACUUGUGGGAAAGAACCAAGCGAAAACCCAUAGCCAUAUUAAAAAGUGAAAGAGGAGCAGGAUAGGAGGAAAACCAGCUACCAAUGAUUCAAGGCAGGCACUUGAUUGAAUCCGCUAGGAAAGAGGAAAGUGGACAGACCCAAGCAAAUCUGGAAGAGUUCAGUCAUCAGUGAAGCUGAUUAUACUGGAAUGACAUGGGAGAAGAUGAAGAAAGCUGCUCAGAGCCACGUUUGGUGGAUAGAUGUGGCCCUCCUCUCACAGGAGUAAGACUAAGACGAUGACUGCUUUAGUGAUCCUUAUGGAUAUUUAGUGAUUACCAUAAGUGUAGAAACCAUUGAAGACUACAUUUGCACUCAGAGAUUUAAAGGAUGUAGAGUCAACUACAAAGAGCGUUCAUGCAUUGAAGAAGAAUUUGUGGGCUGUGAAAAUCCAUUUCCAUACAAAACUAAGAGAGAAUGUCUCAGAGAUUUUCGUGGUCAUGGCAACAUUUGUGAAUAUCGUAAACCAUGCAGAAAUAACGGCACUUGUUCACCACUACCUCCAAUCAUGUUCCAACAUUCAAUGUGAGUGUGCUGCCACGGGUUACUAUGGUGACAGGUGUGGAAAUAAAUGUCCCAAAGAUUUGUCAGCUAAGGAGCCUAAAAUGUUGGCCUGUUUACAAAUAUGAGAUCUUCCUUAACUACACAAGUACCUUACAGAAGAAGGCUUCUCAUUUGUGUUUGGAUAUGCCUCCUGUACCAAGGCUCACUAGACUGGACAUUUAUAUAGCCUAAUAUUAUGUUACUGACAAGUAUCUAAGUAUUGCAUGUCCUGUCCAAGCCUCAAUGACUAAGAUAAUUAAAGGUAUUCAUGAUUAUAAGAUAAGUAGAAUGCAAUGAAAAUCAAAGAUGCUGGUAUUAAAACAAGAAAAAGUAGGCAACUGUAUAGCUUACUUUUCUACUGUCUAUAAUGUUUGUAGAUUCUAAAGUUAGAAAGUGUCUUUUUUUAAUGACACAUUGCCUGUCAAUACUGUUUAGUUUAAAUCACCCUAAGUGAUGGUCAAGCUCAACAGAUAUUAUUAAUAAAUAAGCAGCUUUUUUUUCUGGGUAUUAUUCAACCACAGAAGCUGUGAGGGAGAUCUGAAAUCCAUUGCUUACUUGUCUAGCAGAAAGAUUUCCAUCCAUUUAGUGAUAAAAGAUUAAGUGUACACAACUUUUAGUAGUCACCACAUAACACUUACAUUUUGAUGCUCAAGACAGUACUGUUCAUGAAUGGUUUAGUUCUUUUCAUGCAGAGAGUGUUCAAGAAAGAUAAGGUCAAAGGUUAAUUGGAGUUGUUUUUAUGCUGUGACAGUGUUAAAUUUCCCUCGUGUUUUAUGUAUGAGUUUAAAGACAUUAACCAUAUUUUUUGUUUUACAAAUGUAGGAAGAACACGUUAAUAAACUUUGUCUUUGAAUCUGAAAUUGUAAAACACUUAGAGAAAAAAUUACAAUGUUUUGUUUUUUAAUUUAAAUUUAUCAAGAACCUGCUAUUCAUUUACUUUGACUGUUGACUUUAAGUUAGAAAUUAAACAAAGAUUUCUUUGAGGUAUAUUUGUUAAUGACCAUAGGCAUUAAAGAGAGUUGACUUAGCUAACUGUACUUUUCAACAAGAUAAUGUCUUAAAGAAGUUAAGAGAUUUUGAUGGAAUUCUGUGGUUGAAUAACAUAAGUAAAGUUAAUCAAUCACAAGAGUCCAUCAAAAAUAUAAAAUGCUAAAAAAAUAUAAAAGAUUAAAUUAAAUUUUUGAGAUUACAUAUACUUUAUGUAGAAUCUUUUUUCAACAAAGUUUACCAGUAUAGGUAUUUAGACCUAGGAACAAAUGAUAACUGGAUAUAUUUUUUUUUUAAAACACUGGCAUGUAUAUAACUUGUUACUAUUACUUUUUAAUAUCUGCAAUAUCAAUUGUGGUUUUCUUUUAAGAGUUCUAUAUGAAAAUGUUACUUCUGAACACUGCUGAUUUACUAGAUUUUAUUCAAUUAUGUUUUUUAAAUGAAAUAUUGUACAAUGGCAUAUCUGUUUGUAUUAUAGAAUUAAGGUUUUUAUAGCUAUAUAUUAAAAACAUCUUAAAUUUAAUGUAGUUUAUGCACUGAAUAAUUUUUUAAACUUUUGGAUAAUUUAUACUAAUUUUGUUAUGUGUGUAUAUUUGUAGAAUAUGAAUAUCAUAUUAAAGGCAUUUAUUUACUUACA